UACGUAGGUGGCAAGCGUUGUCCGGAAUUAUUGGGCGUAAAGGGCGCGUAGGCGGCUUUUCAAGUGACGGGUGAAAUCCCUCGGCUUAACCGAGGAACUGCCUGUCAGACUGGAAGGCUUGAGACCGGGAGAGGUGAGUGGAAUUCCCAGUGUAGCGGUGAAAUGCGUAGAUAUUGGGAGGAACACCGGUGGCGAAGGCGGCUUCCUGGACCGACACUGACGCUGAGGCGCGAAAGCUAGGGGAGCAAACGGG
rnacentral:rRNA from 1 species